GACGAACGCUGGCGGCGUGCCUAAUACAUGCAAGUGGAACGCAUUGGUAACACCGGACUUGCUCCAGUGUUACUAAUGAGUCGCGAACGGGUGAGUAACGCGUAGGUAACCUGCCUGAUAGCGGGGGAUAACUAUUGGAAACGAUAGCUAAUACCGCAUAAGAGGAGUUAACUCAUGUUAACUGUUUAAAAGAAGCAACGGCUUCACUAUCAGAUGGACCUGCGUUGUAUUAGCUAGUAGGUAGGGUAACGGCCUACCUAGGCACCGAUACAUAGCCGACCUGAGAGGGUGAACGGCCACACUGGGACUGAGACACGGCCCAGACUCCUACGGGAGGCAGCAGUAGGGAAUCUUCGGCAAUGGACGCAAGUCUGACCGAGCAACGCCGCGUGAGUGAAGACGGUUUUCGGAUCGUAAAGCUCUGUUGUAGGGGAAGAACGUGUGUAAGAGUGGAAAGCUUACACA
rnacentral:rRNA from 1 species